UACGGGGGGGGGCAAGCGUUGUUCGGAAUUACUGGGCGUAAAGGGCUCGUAGGCGGCCAACUAAGUCAGACGUGAAAUCCCUCGGCUUAACCGGGGAACUGCAUCUGAUACUGGAUGGCUUGAGUUCGGGAGAGGGAUGCGGAAUUCCAGGUGUAGCGGUGAAAUGCGUAGAUAUCUGGAGGAACACCGGUGGCGAAGGCGGCAUCCUGGACCGGCACUGACGCUGUGGAGCGAAAGCCAGGGGAGCAAAAGCGGG
rnacentral:rRNA from 1 species